rnacentral:lncRNA from 10 species
AUGAAUCAUGGGGGGAUAAUGGCAUCCACUUCAUCCUGUCCUGGGGAGGGUCUGAUGAGUGAAUGUGUUUAGACUGCUAUACUUGGAGCAAUGCCUGGCACUAGGGAAGCAUCGGACACUGAGGCCCGGGAAGGGUCACACAGCUAGACAGGGCACAGCCAGGACCUGAGUCCAGGUCUGUGACCACAGUGCCUGUGUCCUCUCCUGCACCAUGCUGCUGCAGGCCCUCUCUGUCUCUCUGUCUCUCUCUGUCUCUCUUUCUGCCUCCCUGACGUUCUCCCCACCCAGGGGUAGCUCUCCAGAGGCUGUCGCAGGUAGUGGAUGAAACAUGGACCUUUUUUUUUUUUUCCUUAAGACAGAGUGCCGUGGUGUGAUCUCGCCUCACUGCAACCUUUGCCUCCCAGGUUCAAGCAAUUCUCCUGCCUCAGUCUCCCGAGUAGCUGGGAUUACAGGGGCCCGCCACCACGCCGGCUAAUUUUUGUAUUUUUAUAAAGACGGGGUUUCACCAUGUUUGCCAGGCUGGUCUCGAACUCCUGACCUCAUGAUUCGCCCGCCUCAGCCUCCCAAAGUGCUGGGAUUCCAGAAAUGAGCCACUGCGCCCAGUCGGACAUUGAUUUUUAACAAACGUGGGUUCAAAUCCUGGUCUGCCAUUCACCAGCUAUGUGACCGUGUUGGGCCUGUGGCAUCCGCUCCCUGAGCCUCAGUUUCUCCACCGUCUCCUGAGGACUUGAGGACACUGUCUAAAGGCAGGUUUGCCAUAGCACUGUGAAAGCAUCGGCUUUGGGGCUCCUCACUUGCACAGGCCCUUUUGGAAUACAAAUUCACUUUCAUAGAUGGGGCUUCCAAAAUUGAAAAGCUUCAGACUUCACAAAUCCUAGGUCCACCCUGCGGUGCCCUGUGACUUAACCACAACCACUGCACUGCCUGGGCUUCCCCAGCCCUCUCCAAGGCCCGCUUUCACUGUACCGGGGUUUUCUAUUUAUGGAUCCGCCCUGCUACCCGCCACUCCCACAACCCCCACCCAUAGAUGGGCCAUGAGCUCCUCAUGGGCAGAGGGCGAGCCCUGGUUUCUUGGUACCCUAGGGACUGCUUGGUAUAU